GAUGAACGCUGGCGGCGUGCCUAAUACAUGCAAGUCGAGCGAACGGACGAGAAGCUUGCUUUUCUGAUGUUAGCGGCGGACGGGUGAGUAACACGUGGAUAACCUACCUAUAAGACUGGGAUAACUUCGGGAAACCGGAGCUAAUACCGGAUAAUAUUUUGAACCGCAUGGUUCAAAAGUGAAAGACGGUCUUGCUGUCACUUAUAGAUGGAUCCGCGCUGCAUUAGCUAGUUGGUAAGGUAACGGCUUACCAAGGCAACGAUGCAUAGCCGACCUGAGAGGCGGAUGGACCAAGAGGGAACUGAGACGCGAGCGAGAAACAGAGGAGGGGCAGAGGGAGGGAAUCGUAAGAAAGGGGAGAAAUCAUAAAGGAGCAACGAAGGGGGAGAGAUGAAGGUCUACGGCUCGUAAAAAUCUGUUAUUAGGGAAGAACAAAUGUGUAAGUAACUAUGGAGGUCGUGACGGUAGCAAAACAGAAAGCCACGCCCAAAUAAGU
rnacentral:rRNA from 1 species